rnacentral:rRNA from 1 species
UACGUAGGUGGCAAGCGUUGUUCGGAAUAACUGGGCGUAAAGGAUGCGUAGGCGGUUAAACAAGUUAUAUGUUAAAUAUAUAGGCUUAACCUGUAGAAAGCAUAUAAAACUGUUUAACUAGAGUGCAGGAGAGAUAAGUGGAAUUCCUAGUGUAGCGGUGAAAUGCGUAGAGAUUAGGAAGAACACCAGUGGCGAAGGCGACUUACUGGACUGUAACUGACGCUGAGGCAUGAGAGCAUGGGGAGCAAACAGG